rnacentral:rRNA from 1 species
AACACGUGAGCAACCUGCCUUUCAGUGGGGGACAACAUUUGGAAACGAAUGCUAAUACCGCAUAAGACCACAGUGUCGCAUGGCACAGGGGUCAAAGGAUUUAUCCGCUGAAAGAUGGGCUCGCGUCCGAUUAGCUAGAUGGUGAGGUAACGGCCCACCAUGGCGACGAUCGGUAGCCGGACUGAGAGGUUGAACGGCCACAUUGGGACUGAGACACGGCCCAGACUCCUACGGGAGGCAGCAUG